UACGUAGGUGGCAAGCGUUGUCCGGAUUUACUGGGUGUAAAGAGCGCGCAGGCGGUCGUCCAAGUCGCGUGUGAAAGCCCCCGGCUCAACUGGGGAGGGUCACGCGAUACUGGUCGACUCGAAGGCAGGAGAGGGUAGUGGAAUUCCCGGUGUAGUGGUGAAAUGCGUAGAUAUCGGGAGGAACACCAGUGGCGAAGGCGACUACCUGGCCUGUUCUUGACGCUGAGGCGCGAAAGCUAGGGGAGCAAACGGGG
rnacentral:rRNA from 1 species